GGGUUGUGAGGUUAAGCGACUAAGCGUACACGGUGGAUGCCCUGGCAGUCAGAGGCGAUGAAGGACGUGCUAAUCUGCGAUAAGCGUCGGUAAGGUGAUAUGAACCGUUAUAACCGGCGAUUUCCGAAUGGGGAAACCCAGUGUGAUUCGUCACACUAUCAUUAACUGAAUCCAUAGGUUAAUGAGGCGAACCGGGGGAACUGAAACAUCUAAGUACCCCGAGGAAAAGAAAUCAACCGAGAUUCCCCCAGUAGCGGCGAGCGAACGGGGAGCAGCCCAGAGCCUGAAUCAGUGUGUGUGUUAGUGGAAGCGUCUGGAAAGGCGCGCGAUACAGGGUGACAGCCCCGUACACAAAAAUGCACAUGCUGUGAGCUCGAUGAGUAGGGCGGGACACGUGGUAUCCUGUCUGAAUAUGGGGGGACCAUCCUCCAAGGCUAAAUACUCCUGACUGACCGAUAGUGAACCAGUACCGUGAGGGAAAGGCGAAAAGAACCCCGGCGAGGGGAGUGAAAAAGAACCUGAAACCGUGUACGUACAAGCAGUGGGAGCCUCUUUAUGGGGUGACUGCGUACCUUUUGUAUAAUGGGUCAGCGACUUAUAUUCUGUAGCAAGGUUAACCGAAUAGGGGAGCCGAAGGGAAACCGAGUCUUAACUGGGCGUUAAGUUGCAGGGUAUAGACCCGAAACCCGGUGAUCUAGCCAUGGGCAGGUUGAAGGUUGGGUAACACUAACUGGAGGACCGAACCGACUAAUGUUGAAAAAUUAGCGGAUGACUUGUGGCUGGGGGUGAAAGGCCAAUCAAACCGGGAGAUAGCUGGUUCUCCCCGAAAGCUAUUUAGGUAGCGCCUCGUGAAUUCAUCUCCGGGGGUAGAGCACUGUUUCGGCAAGGGGGUCAUCCCGACUUACCAACCCGAUGCAAACUGCGAAUACCGGAGAAUGUUAUCACGGGAGACACACGGCGGGUGCUAACGUCCGUCGUGAAGAGGGAAACAACCCAGACCGCCAGCUAAGGUCCCAAAGUCAUGGUUAAGUGGGAAACGAUGUGGGAAGGCCCAGACAGCCAGGAUGUUGGCUUAGAAGCAGCCAUCAUUUAAAGAAAGCGUAAUAGCUCACUGGUCGAGUCGGCCUGCGCGGAAGAUGUAACGGGGCUAAACCAUGCACCGAAGCUGCGGCAGCGACACUAUGUGUUGUUGGGUAGGGGAGCGUUCUGUAAGCCUGCGAAGGUGUACUGUGAGGUAUGCUGGAGGUAUCAGAAGUGCGAAUGCUGACAUAAGUAACGAUAAAGCGGGUGAAAAGCCCGCUCGCCGGAAGACCAAGGGUUCCUGUCCAACGUUAAUCGGGGCAGGGUGAGUCGACCCCUAAGGCGAGGCCGAAAGGCGUAGUCGAUGGGAAACAGGUUAAUAUUCCUGUACUUGGUGUUACUGCGAAGGGGGGACGGAGAAGGCUAUGUUGGCCGGGCGACGGUUGUCCCGGUUUAAGCGUGUAGGCUGGUUUUCCAGGCAAAUCCGGAAAAUCAAGGCUGAGGCGUGAUGACGAGGCACUACGGUGCUGAAGCAACAAAUGCCCUGCUUCCAGGAAAAGCCUCUAAGCAUCAGGUAACAUCAAAUCGUACCCCAAACCGACACAGGUGGUCAGGUAGAGAAUACCAAGGCGCUUGAGAGAACUCGGGUGAAGGAACUAGGCAAAAUGGUGCCGUAACUUCGGGAGAAGGCACGCUGAUAUGUAGGUGAAGCGACUUGCUCGUGGAGCUGAAAUCAGUCGAAGAUACCAGCUGGCUGCAACUGUUUAUUAAAAACACAGCACUGUGCAAACACGAAAGUGGACGUAUACGGUGUGACGCCUGCCCGGUGCCGGAAGGUUAAUUGAUGGGGUUAGCGGUAACGCGAAGCUCUUGAUCGAAGCCCCGGUAAACGGCGGCCGUAACUAUAACGGUCCUAAGGUAGCGAAAUUCCUUGUCGGGUAAGUUCCGACCUGCACGAAUGGCGUAAUGAUGGCCAGGCUGUCUCCACCCGAGACUCAGUGAAAUUGAACUCGCUGUGAAGAUGCAGUGUACCCGCGGCAAGACGGAAAGACCCCGUGAACCUUUACUAUAGCUUGACACUGAACAUUGAGCCUUGAUGUGUAGGAUAGGUGGGAGGCUUUGAAGUGUGGACGCCAGUCUGCAUGGAGCCGACCUUGAAAUACCACCCUUUAAUGUUUGAUGUUCUAACGUUGGCCCCUAAUCGGGGUUGCGGACAGUGUCUGGUGGGUAGUUUGACUGGGGCGGUCUCCUCCUAAAGAGUAACGGAGGAGCACGAAGGUUGGCUAAUCCUGGUCGGACAUCAGGAGGUUAGUGCAAUGGCAUAAGCCAGCUUGACUGCGAGCGUGACGGCGCGAGCAGGUGCGAAAGCAGGUCAUAGUGAUCCGGUGGUUCUGAAUGGAAGGGCCAUCGCUCAACGGAUAAAAGGUACUCCGGGGAUAACAGGCUGAUACCGCCCAAGAGUUCAUAUCGACGGCGGUGUUUGGCACCUCGAUGUCGGCUCAUCACAUCCUGGGGCUGAAGUAGGUCCCAAGGGUAUGGCUGUUCGCCAUUUAAAGUGGUACGCGAGCUGGGUUUAGAACGUCGUGAGACAGUUCGGUCCCUAUCUGCCGUGGGCGCUGGAGAACUGAGGGGGGCUGCUCCUAGUACGAGAGGACCGGAGUGGACGCAUCACUGGUGUUCGGGUUGUCAUGCCAAUGGCACUGCCCGGUAGCUAAAUGCGGAAGAGAUAAGUGCUGAAAGCAUCUAAGCACGAAACUUGCCCCGAGAUGAGUUCUCCCUGACUCCCUGAGAGUCCUGAAGGAACGUUGAAGACGACGACGUUGAUAGGCCGGGUGUGUAAGCGCAGCGAUGCGUUGAGCUAACCGGUACUAAUGAACCGUGAGGCUUAACCUUACAACGCCGAAG
rnacentral:rRNA from 1 species